CUGAAUUCUCAGGGCGGGGCGCAAUUCCCCACCGGCGGUAAUUCAGAGCACUCAAUAGUGAGUUAACUGAAAAGCCCGCGAGCGCUUAUCUUUUUUAUAAUGAUAAGGUCAGCAGAUCUGGUGUAAUACUUCCUGUCAGUAUGAGUCCAGAGCCGACGGUUAUAGUCCGGAUGAAAGAGGAUCAGU
rnacentral:ncRNA from 2 species